rnacentral:rRNA from 1 species
ACGCUGGCGGCAGGCCUAACACAUGCAAGUCGAGCGGUAGAGAGAAGCUUGCUUCUCUUGAGAGCGGCGGACGGGUGAGUAAUGCCUAGGAAUCUGCCUGGUAGUGGGGGAUAACGUUCGGAAACGGACGCUAAUACCGCAUACGUCCUACGGGAGAAAGCAGGGGACCUUCGGGCCUUGCGCUAUCAGAUGAGCCUAGGUCGGAUUAGCUAGUUGGUGAGGUAAUGGCUCACCAAGGCGACGAUCCGUAACUGGUCUGAGAGGAUGAUCAGUCACACUGGAACUGAGACACGGUCCAGACUCCUACGGGAGGCAGCAGUGGGGAAUAUUGGACAAUGGGCGAAAGCCUGAUCCAGCCAUGCCGCGUGUGUGAAGAAGGUCUUCGGAUUGUAAAGCACUUUAAGUUGGGAGGAAGGGUUGUAGAUUAAUACUCUGCAAUUUUGACGUUACCAACAGAAUAAGCACCGGCUAACUCUGUGCCAGCAGCCGCGGUAAUACAGAGGGUGCAAGCGUUAAUCGGAAUUACUGGGCGUAAAGCGCGCGUAGGUGGUUUGUUAAGUUGGAUGUGAAAUCCCCGGGCUCAACCUGGGAACUGCAUUCAAAACUGACUGACUAGAGUAUGGUAGAGGGUGGUGGAAUUUCCUGUGUAGCGGUGAAAUGCGUAGAUAUAGGAAGGAACACCAGUGGCGAAGGCGACCACCUGGACUAAUACUGACACUGAGGUGCGAAAGCGUGGGGAGCAAAC